CAGCAGCCGCGGUAAUACCGGCGGCCCGAGUGGCGGUCACUAUUAUUGGGCUUAAAGCGUCCGUAGCCGGGUUGGGAAGUCCUCCGGGAAAUCUGGCCGCUUAACGGUCAGAAUGCCGGAGGAUACUCCCAGCCUAGGGAGCGGGGGAGGCCGAGGGGAUUCCCGGAGUAGGGGUGAAAUCCUAUAAUCCCGGGAGGACCACCUGUGGCGAAGGCGCUCGGCUGGAACGCGUCCGACGGUGAGGGACGAAGGCCAGGGGAGCAAACCGGAUUAGAUACCCGGGUAGUCCUGGCGGUAAACGAUGCGGACUUUGUGUCGGACAAGCUAUGAGCUUGUCCGGUGCCGGAGGGAAACCGUUAAGUCCGCCGCCUGGGGAGUACGGCCGCAAGGCUGAAACUUAAAGGAAUUGGCGGG
rnacentral:rRNA from 1 species